UACGUAGGGUGCGAGCGUUAAUCGGAAUUACUGGGCGUAAAGCGUGCGCAGGCGGUUGGCCGUGUCCGAUGUGAAAGCCCCGGGCUUAACCUGGGAAUGGCAUUGGAAACUGGCUGGCUGGAGUGUGGCAGAGGGGGGUGGAAUUCCACGUGUAGCAGUGAAAUGCGUAGAGAUGUGGAGGAACACCGAUGGCGAAGGCAGCCCCCUGGGCCAACACUGACGCUCAGGCACGAAAGCGUGGGGAGCAAAC
rnacentral:rRNA from 1 species